CAACAUCUGUGUCCCUGUCUGGCUGGUGUGGGCCUCAGCCGGCCCCAGCUCAUGGGCCUAACUGCCCUGUGUCCCGGCCCAGGGUCACUAGCUAUGGGCGUUCAGGGCCCUGCCUGUCCACACCGAGCAGACAGUGUGUACCCUCCGCAGCCAGGGCCACAUGCCGAGCCCUGAGCCCAGUCCCCACCCAGGACAGUGGGCAGUGGGUGAAGGUGACCCAGGUCUCAACCCUGCUGGUCCCUUGUCUGCCUGGAGCCAGAACCAAGAUGCCCCUUCCGACAGACCCCUCAUUCACCCUGACCCAUAAGGGCCCCACGCAUUCCCACCUGCACCCACUCUGGUUGGGCCCCCCAAAGUUCACCCCCCAUAAGUCAGUGCAUCCUGGGGGCACACGUCCAGUCCCUCAUGCCCACGCCUGGUAAAAUCACCCUUCCGCUCUCCAAACUUCACUGGGAUCAACUGGUAAAGCCCUGGCUGCAGAAAGACAGGACUCUGCUGUGUGAAUGCAGGAAUGGGUGGUGAGCCAAGCGUAGCAGGGCUGGAUCCGUCCGCUGUGGGAUGGAGGUGAGGGGACAGGAGGACAGCAAGGUAGCCAGGCUGUGGGGCCAGGGCCGUGCAGGACUGUAUGGAAGGAAGUGUCCUGGGGGACGUGGGGAGAGCACGCUGGUGCGGGGACUGAGGCCUGUCCAGCCAGGCUCUGGGUGGCAGGGAGGUGGGAACAGGGCCUUGUUGGAGGCCACCGCACUCCCCACUGGGAGCACAAGUUCAGGAGGAUGUGCCUGGGGGCAGCAGAGCCCAGAGCCCAGCACAAGCCCCAGCCACAGGCAGGACACAGGACACCAGCGGGCUGACCAGUGGGAUUUCGGUCUCUGGCGCUGUGAACCGACAGGCCGUGGGCCAGGCCAUAGCAGCGGGAGUCCCACAGAUCCCGUGGCUGCGAGGUGCCCCCUCGGCCUAAGCCCAGCUCUGGCAACAAGGACGGCCUUGCACCCUGCUUCUCACACGGUCGCCUCUCAAGAGAAGAGAAGAUCUAGAAGGAAAUGGUGGCACCCAUCCUGUGACAGAUGCAGCAGACCCCACCAGGGCCGGAAGUGACUCCAGAAAACCCCGAAGCACCCCAUCACCUUUCACACCACCUGCUCACUGACCCUCGGCCCCACCUCACCC
rnacentral:lncRNA from 1 species